CAUUUCAAUACAUUUUGGACAAAUUGAACAAUGAAACACUAACAGUCAUUGAUGUGUGAAAGAAAUUUUCAAUUAUGGAUUGUAUCAAUCAAAUUGAAUUAGCACUAGCUGAAUUAAGACCAUAACUUUGAAUGCAUGUUGGAAAGCUGUUUGGCCAGAAUGUAUUAAAAACAAAAAUCCUGUCCUCCCUAAUAUGACGGAAUUUUCCAACAUCAUAACAUUGGCACAUAUAAUUGGCGGAGAAGGAUUCAAUGAUUUAUCGUUUGAAGAUAUUGAUGAAUUAUUAGUUGAUAAAGUCCUAAGCGAAGAUGAAAUAAUAGAGGCUGUCCUUGAGACUUCUGAUCUCAAAGAACAUAGUGAUAAAGACGAAGAAGAUCCUGUUUUAAAUGCAAAUUUAAUUAAAGAAGAUCUUGAACUGGC
rnacentral:lncRNA from 1 species